rnacentral:lncRNA from 1 species
GUGCACGGAUCACUUCUUUCGGAUAGAUGGGUCUCGAGUCUACAGUGUAGAGACAAUGAAACGAGAGUGCAGGAGGUUGUUAGAUAAUAACUAGCACUGAGUGUAACCAACAUGAGAAGUCACAUGGAUGUUUGCUUACUUAUUAGUGACUUUUUCGAUGCUGUAGUUAUAUGACUGAUCCUUUGACCUGAGAUGAUACUACUUCUCACAGUGAGGCUGCUGGAGUUUGACUGACACAUCCA